AUGGGGGGCGCCGUUCCCGGCUGCUAUGGGCUAGAAGACUACCGGCCUCACCGCCCCAUCCUGAGCCCCGGAGUAGGGAUGGGGGGUGGGCCGGGGCAACUUCACAACGCCGUAGGCAAUAUGGGUGGGGGCCCUGCCGUCAGCGAUCGAGGUGGGGGGCCGGGGAGCAGUUCUGGAGGGAGCAAUUCCGGUUCCUUCCUGGGCUCCCUGUUUGGCAGCAAGCGUGCCAAACCUCCUGCUCCCCUUAUUCCCCCAGGGCCACAUUACCCGGCCCCCAUGCUACCUCCUACUACAGGAGGGCCACCACCUUCUUCCCCCUCCGCCCUCAGCCAGUCAGACCCCGGUGGGCCAUCCAAGAUCCAGGCCCUGCACGCUCAGUACUGUCACAACAACUUUGGCCAGCCUCCACCCCCCUACCAUCAUCAUCAUCGGUACCACAUGCAGGCCGUCGCCCCUGGCCAUCCCCCCACUAUCCAUCAUACCCUGCAACGAGGGUCCCUCCCACGGCGCGGGCCCCCCGCUCCUUCACACGCCCAGUUCCAGCAGCAACUAUCCCAUCAUGCUAUACAGCAAGGCCGCUAUGGCAAUAUGGCUUGCACCCCUCCACCUCUGUCCCCUCAUUCGCCCAAUUCCCCCAUUGCCCCUUUCACCUUUUACCACAUGCAUCCCAAUCCCAUACGCCACGUACGGGUGCCCGGUCCUACCGGCAAGCUUCCUCUCACCCUGUCUCACUCUCAGCCCCACCCUCACGCCCACUCCCACAUUCACUCUCAUACCCACAGCCAUCCAGUACAUGCCCACAGCCCACACCCCUUAAUGGAUCACUCCGCCCAUCAAACUCAUUUCGUUUUCUCACCGCCCCCUCAGGCGCCAUCCGCCAUCACCACCCGCUACAUACCCCAGGGCGUCGCCCACUGCGUCCCGCAGUAUCCUCCCCUCUCCUCCAUUCCUCCUCCUCCACCACAUUCCCCGUUACCUCCUCCUUCAUCCCCACAUACCCCACUGACCCCUCUUACCCCACUCUCCCCACUGGCCCCGCAGCUCCCAGGACACAUUGGGGUGCAGUUGGGCGGCCCAGGGGGCGGAGGAGGAGGUGGAGCCAGCAACAGCAGCACGGUCGGCAGCUCCAAAUCCAGACCUAUCAACCGCAUCAGCACGGUGGUAUAA
ensembl:lncRNA